GAAUAGCCUUUCGAAAGAAAGAUUAAUACCGGAUGGCAUACGAAUAUCGCAUGAUAUUUUUAUUAAAGAAUUUCGGUUAUCGAUGGGGAUGCGUUCCAUUAGUUUGUUGGCGGGGUAACGGCCCACCAAGACUACGAUGGAUAGGGGUUCUGAGAGGAAGGUCCCCCACAUUGGAACUGAGACACGGUCCAAACUCCUACGGGAGGCAGCAUG
rnacentral:rRNA from 1 species